GCCUUUAGAAAUCGUGAGGGUUCAAGUCCCUUUUCCCC
rnacentral:tRNA from 1 species